rnacentral:misc_RNA from 1 species
GAUGAAGAACGCAGCGAAAUGCGAUAAGUAAUGUGAAUUGCAGAAUUCAGUGAAUCAUCGAAUCUUUGAACGCACAUUGCGCCCCCUGGUAUUCCGGGGGGCAUGCCUGUCCGAGCGUCAUUACAACCCUCAAGCUCGGCUUGGUGUUGGGGCCUGCCGCACGGGCAGCCCUUAAAAUCAGUGGCGGUGCCAUCUGGCUCUAAGCGUAGUAAUUCUUCUCGCUAUAGAGUCCCGGUGGAUGCUUGCCAUUAACCCCCAAUUUCAAUGGUUGACCUCGGAUCAGGUAGGGAUACCCGCUGAACUUAAGCAUAUCAAUAAGCGGAGGA